rnacentral:rRNA from 1 species
AAGUAAAAGUCGUAACAAGGUUUCCGUAGGUGAACCUGCGGAAGGAUCAUUAAAGAGUAAGGGUGCUCAGCGCCCGACCUCCAACCCUUUGUUGUUAAAACUACCUUGUUGCUUUGGCGGGACCGCUCGGUCUCGAGCCGCUGGGGAUUCGUCCCAGGCGAGCGCCCGCCAGAGUUAAACCAAACUCUUGUUAUUAAACCGGUCGUCUGAGUUAAAAUUUUGAAUAAAUCAAAACUUUCAACAACGGAUCUCUUGGUUCUCGCAUCGAUGAAGAACGCAGCGAAAUGCGAUAAGUAAUGUGAAUUGCAGAAUUCAGUGAAUCAUCGAAUCUUUGAACGCACAUUGCGCCCCUUGGUAUUCCGAGGGGCAUGCCUGUUCGAGCGUCAUUACACCACUCAAGCUAUGCUUGGUAUUGGGUGCCGUCCUUAGUUGGGCGCGCCUUAAAGACCUCGGCGAGGCCUCACCGGCUUUAGGCGUAGUAGAAUUUAUUCGAACGUCUGUCAAAGGAGAGGACUUCUGCCGACUGAAACCUUUAUUUUUCUAGGUUGACCUCGGAUCAGGUAGGGAUACCCGCUGAACUUAAGCA